UUCCUGGUUGAUCCUGCCAGUAGUCAUAUGCUUGUCUCAAAGAUUGAGCCAUGCAUGUCUCAGUGCAAGCCAAAUUAGGGUGAAACCGCGAAUGGCUCAUUAUAUCAGUUAUGGUUUCUCAGAUCGUACACACAUUUACUUGGAUAACUGUGGUGAUUCUAGAGCUAAUACACGCGAACAGAGUUCCGACCAGAGAUGGAAGGAAUGCUUUCAUUAGAUCAAAACCAAUCGGCGGCGGGUACGUCCCGUCCGCCGUUCACCUUGGUGACGCUAAAUAACUUUGGGCUGAUCGCACGGUCUCGUACCGGCGACGCUUCUUUCAAAUGUCUGCCUUAUCAACUGUCGAUGGUAGGCUCUGCGCCUACCAUGGUUGUAACGGGUAACGGGGAAUCAGGGUUAAAUUCCGGAGAGGAAGCCUGAGAAACGGCUACCACAUCCAAGGAAGGCAGCAGGCGCGCAAAUUACCCACUCCCGGCACGGGGAGGUAGUGACGAAAAAUAACGAUACGGAACUCAUCCGAGGCCCCGUAAUCGGAAUGAGUACACUUUGAAUCCUUAAACGAGGAUCCAUUGGAGGGCAAGUUUGAUGCCAGCAGCCGCGGUAAUUCCAGCUCCAAUAGCGUAUAUUAAAGUUGUUGCGGUUGAAAAGCUCGUAGUUGAAUCUGUGUCCCACGCUGUCGGUUCAACGCUCGCGGUGUCUAACUGACAUGAUUGUGGGACGUUCUACCGGUGGGCUCAGCAUUCCGGAGCGGCCCAACUAAUAUUCCAUCGCGGUGCUCUUCACUGAGUGUCGAGGUGGGCCGGUACGUUUGCUUUGAACAAAUUAGAGUGCUUGAAGCAGGCUAUUUUCGCCUGAAUACUGUGUGCAUGGAAUAAUGGAAUAGGACCUCGGUUCUAUUUUGUUGGUUUUCGGAACCUGAGGUAAUGAUUGAAAGGGACAGAUGGGGACAUUCGUAUUGCGACGUUAGAGGUGAAAUUCUUGGAUCGUCGCAAGACGGACAGAAGCGAAAGCAUUUGCCAAAAAUGUUGUCUUUAAUCAAGAACGAAAGUUAGAGGUUCGAAGGCGAUCAGAUACCGCCCUAGUUCUAACCAUAAACGAUGCCAGCUAGCGAUCGGCCGAAGUUCCUCCGAUGACUCGGCGGGCAGCUUCCGGGAAAGCAAAGCUUUUGGGUUCCGGGGGAUGUAUGGUUGCGAAGCUGGAACUUAAAGGAAUUGACGGAAGGGCACCACCAGGAGUGGAGCCUGCGGCUCAAUUUGACUCAACACGGGAAAUCUCACCAGGCCCGGACACCGGAAGGAUUGACAGAUUGGGAGCUCUUUCUUGAUUGGGUGGGUGGUGGUGCAUGGCUGUUCUUAGCUGGUGAAGCGAUUUGUCUGGUUAAUUCCGAUAACGAACGAGCCUCUAGCCUGCUAAUUAGGCGUACCUUCCGGUAUCUCGAAGGCCUCCGGCCUCGGUCGGGCGGUUUUUACUACCGGCGUACAAAUAAAUCUUCUUAGAGGGACAGGCGGCUUCUAGCCGCACGAGAUUAAGCAAUAACAGGUCUGUGAUGCCCUUAGAUGUUCUGGGCCGCACGCGCGCUACACUAAAGGAAUAAGCGUGUCUUCCCUGGCCGAAAGGCCCGGGUAACCCGCUGAACCUCCUUCGUGCUAGGGAUUGGGGCUUGCAAUUAUUCCCCAUGAACAAGGAAUUCCCAGUAAGCGCGAGUCAUAAGCUCGCGUUGAUUACGUCCCUGCCCUUUGUACACACCGCCCGUCGCUACUACCGAUUAAAUGAUUCAGUGAGGUCUUCGGACUGGUACGCGGCAAUGUCUCGGCAUUGCCGAAGUUGCCAGGAGGAUGACCAAACUUGAUCUUUUAGAGGAAGUAAAAGUCGUAACAAGGUUCCUGUAGGUGAACCUGCGGAAGGAUCAUUA
rnacentral:rRNA from 1 species